rnacentral:rRNA from 1 species
CUACGGGCGGCAGCAGUGAGGAAUCUUCCACAAUGGACGAAAGUCUGAUGGAGCGACACCGCGUGAAGGAUGAAGGCCUAACGGUUGUAAACUUCUUUUCUGAAGGAGCAUAAUGAGAGUACUUCAGGAAUAAGGGACGGCUAAAUACGUGCCAGCAGCCGCGGUAAUACGUAUGUCUCAAGCGUUACCCGGAAUCACUGGGUGUAAAGGGUUCGUAGGCGGCGAAUUAAGUUGGAUAUGAAAGACCGGAGCUCAACUCCGAGUUUGUGUUCAAAACUGGUUUGCUAGAAUCAGGGAGAGGUAAGCGGAAUUCUAAGUGUAGGGGUGCAAUCCGUAGAUACUUAGAGGAACACCAAAAGCGAAGGCAGCUUACUGGAACUGUAUUGACGCUCAUGAACGAAAGCGUGGGUAGCGAAAAGGAUUAGAUACCCUUGUAGUC